ACAUAUUUAUUAAUUUUUGUAAAUAGAAUUUUCUAUUAUUACAGACUAUCCAGUGGAUAAUACAUAAAUUAACGAUUGUAAAUUUCUUCGCGGAUUGAAAGUCACUGAUUAAUCUAUCAUAAAAACAUAAAAGUUUUUAAAUUUAUAUGAAGUGAAUCAUGCAGCAACUGAAUAAAAAAUUGAAAAUUGAUAAAAUGACGGGCUUUUAAAGAUUAAAAUAAUAAAAUAAUGACCUAUUCGCCCAUAUACUUAAAUUGUGUAUAUAAAAUAACGUUUGGGGCAUUUUGUCAAUUAAUUUUAAUUUUUAAUAUUAAUUUUAGUUUAAUUUAAGAAAAUUUUUUAUUCUUAUAGUUUAGUAGACUCAAUCUCAGUCACUUCCGCGGAGGGAAUUUACAGUCCUCAAUUUAUACAUUCUUUACUGCGAUAGUAAAAGAUUUCAUCUUAACGACUUCAAUAUUUUUAUAUAAAACCAUGUCUUUUUCGGAUUUAAGUAGUAAUAUCCUUAAAACAUCCCUUGUUAAUGCGCGUAUUUGUAUUGAAUCGUUACAUCUUUCUUUUAUAUAAUUUUAAUAAUGCAUUAUAUUCCAUAUCUUUUGUCUCUUCUAAGAAAUAUCCUUUGCGGUAAUAAGAACGUGCGACAAUGCUUACCGAUAAAAGGACCUGAUCGGUGUUUCUUUACAAUUUCUAAGUGGUCGCGCUUGAUAUGUCCUUUAUAACAGAUAUGAGAGAAACGUUCGUGCUCGACGCCUGUCGCAACGCUUGGCGUUCGCGUACAUAUCACUUGCAAGGACAGUUGCAGUUUUUCGCCAUAAAUGGAACUGGAGCACGCGCCAUAUGGGAGACGUUUAUGGAUUACAAAAUCGCAACGGAGCCUAACCAGAUUUGAAACCGCUUCUACAUAAGCAGAGGCCUCGCCUCGUGAAAAACAUUGGUCGUACCAACUCUUACCACGCGCUUGUCUCUGGAAUCCAGAAGUGUAAUGACACGAGUAAUUGGGCCUUAGAAACGGAAUCUCUGAAACCGUUUUUAUUAUACCGGUAAAAAAAAUUUGCCUCGCAGGCGGCUCUUUUGUUAGUAACUAAUGUGCAUUCUUCGCGAUGUGCGCGACUUGAGGGAAGACGCUGCUGUAUUUCUUUUUCCUCAAAAUAAAUUGCAGUUUUAUUGAAACAAAAGCACGUCGAUUUCCAGAUACGUGCAAAUAAAUAAGUUUUACUCGACAGCAAUCGAAUACUCUCUAAAUCGGAAUCAAUGUAUUAUUCACUGAAAGACACCGAAUAGUCUGAUUUCAGUGCUAUUUUUACAAUUAUAUUAAUCAGUAAUAUAUCCACUGUCUCUCAGUGAUAACGUACUAGUCAGUGUAGGAAAUAUCCUCUUCUUUAAUCGGAAUCACUGAAAGUGACUGAAUAAUCGCUGAUGAUCACAAUUAUAAGUAUGGCACUGUAAAUUAGUAAGACUUCAUUGAUUGAGAAAAUAAAAUCAAUAGUUGUAAUAUUUAUGUGCGUGCUUUCUUUCCGCGUUAGAUUCGCAUCGUUAAGUUUCUCUAUUUUGAAUAUUUAUUGCAAUUCCGUUUGUUAAAAAUAUUACAGCACAAGGAGCAUAACUCCCUCGGUGUAUUAUGGAUCGCAUCCUGAAUCUCCAAUCUCGAUUAAUUCCGGUCAAUUAUAUACCUUCGACAAAUAAAUGGAUGAUUCUUGAAUGCAGCUGCCUCCACGGUGAGCUGUCUCAAGAGGCCUCAUUAACUGCAGUCUGUUCAAUUAUAUAAUAAUAAGCUAAUAAUAAUUGCAUUGCCGUUGCAUCGGUUCAUUGGACGACGAGAGUAGACGAAUAAAUUAAGGACUAACUUCCCUCUUACAAUACCCUCAUCCAGACUGCAUGAUGCAUUGCAUCAGAUCUGAUCUCGAAUAUAUUUUUUGACCACUUCAAUACAGCAACAGUUAUACGCGCGUGCAUGCGGCACGAGCAUAUUACAAAGCAUCUUGCAUCGUAAAUAAAAUUUAUUGAUUUAAAAACUUACAUUUUUUUUGGGGGGGGGAGGAGGGAUUCGUACUCAAUGACUAAGUGACCGGUGAUUUAAAUGUUACGUCUAAGCUGUGCGCUGCGAUGCGGGUAUAAACUUACGAUUUUUAACAGAUAAAUAUAUCUCUGACCUGAAUCUUCCGUUGCGGAAAUGAAAAAAGCUCUCAUAGGACAAUCUUAGAAAACACUAUCUUCACUCUCGGUAAAAGAUCAAUUAUAUAAAUGGCAAUGCUACUUUGAUUUACAUGUACUACAUGCACGAUUCUCGUGCAUUGUAAUUUUUUAUGCGACCACAUACUUUGAUUUACAACGUCACCCAUGGUAUUUCCAUAAUUUAUGUGAAAAUACGCCGCCGCCGCCGCGAUUUAUGGAUUUCAAUGUUCACGAUUACGAUGAAUAUAGAUGCUCCUCCUGAUCGUUCGAGAUUGCAAGUCUCUCGUAGAGAGACAUUCACGUAAUUAAUUGUUACCUAAGAAAUCUUAUUACGACAUUAAAUAGGAAGAAUAAAGUUAGUACCGAUAAAUAAAUAUGUAACUAUAAUUCAUAUUGAUUCAUUAAUCAUAAACAAAUAAAUCUUCAUUAACGCUAUCCAUUAUGCGGUAUUACCGACAAGUAGCGAUCAAAAAUAAUCGUCGUAGAUAUUUUAUAUCAAUUUUCUUCACCGAGCCCCGAUGACUCUUAUGGAAAAUUUACGAUUUUUAAUAUGCCGGCCUAUAGGCAGCCAGUCCAGCGGGAGUGAUUUAUACAACGGCAUUUGUUAACGGCCUUUGUCUAUUUGCAAUUCAUGUACCAUCAGCAUCGGGACGUUUAUCACCUUCAUAAACUUCGAUCCCACUGACGCAAAACACAUUUAUCAUCAUAUCGUUGAUUUCAUAAUGUUGCGUUGAGAAGGUAACGUUACAUGAGCGCGCGCGCCUAGACUUCUUUAAUCGCGUAGAUCAAGCCGGUCUCAUUAAGCUGUAUUUAGCGUUGUCGAUGCAGGCUCCCAAUAGAGACAGAAAUCUUUUAUAACCUCGUGAGCAGUAUUCCCAGUAUUAGGACUCAUGCGGCAUUACACGUAUGCGAGUGACCUCGAAAUCAGAUUUUCCUUUCUGACAAUUAAUAUUUAUUGUGUGUGUUUUUAUAUACUUGCGUAAAACGAUUAAGAUUAGAAAUGAUGGAAUCGCAAUUGCAAAUAGAGCGAUCGGGAAUAUUUAACUCAUCUCAUAGAGAUUAACUGUUUCUGAAUUCAAAAGAGAUAAUUACUAAAACGAUAUUAACGAGCGACAUUAGUCAUUUAUUUAAUUACGGUAGCAAUGAAACGUUUGCGUAAAUGUUUGAGAUAAUUAAAGUUGCACACAGUUUUUGUUUUUUCAUAGAUAUUUCACAGACGUUUCUCUUAUACUUAUAUUGUUCUUAUUAAUAAACGCAAUUGUGACGAUCGGCAAUCGUCAUUGUCGAUUAAAUGAAAUAACAAGUAGAAAUUCAAGCGGUGUGAAUCUAACUUUAAGUCCGUGACUUGUAUCGGUGAUACGAUUGAUUUGCGAACCCCUAUAGAAUCAUGAAGUCAUACAUACUCACACAACGCACACGAUCGAUGCAAGAAAAUGAUAUAAACGAUCUCCCUCGCGGUGGCAAGCGGAUACCGCGGCAGUCAAACGUUAACCGUGGUAGCAUGUGAACGGUUAUGCUAAUUUCUACGUCUCAACGUUAAUAUCGAAUAUUUAUGAUCGUUCAACGUAUGAAUUACGUUUAUUACUUUCACCUACCUGAUAUACCGAUAGUUCAAGACUGCGCGUGCUGGUUGUAUCGAAACUGUUACGAAACUACUGCAGCUCGUAUCGAUAUCUUUUUUUUAAUGGCACUACAGUCCAAGUUGGUCCCGGAUCUUCUCUUUACGUAUAUCUCUACGUAUAUCUGUGGUGCGCACGUAGGUUGUACACAGAUAUACAGGAUCUACAGUUUAACGUCGGCUCCGAAUGGCUAAGAUAGAGAGAUUUCGAGACAUAGAAUACUCUUGAUGGCCUGCCAUUCCAUCGAAGAGGAGAACGAGGGUAUAAAUUUUUUCGGCUCUGCCUGGAAUCUGUCUCUCUUUUGGUUGACUUUAUUGACAAUGACAACGAGUGGGAUUCAUUUAAUUUUCAUUUUCAUAAUUAUACAUUUUUGUGCAAACAUGUGGAAUUAACAUUUUUACAACAUAUGUACAUAGAGAAAAUUUUGUAAUAAAAAUUGCUACGGUUAAUAAUAAGCGCGGAC